ACAAGGCAAGGUGGCUCCUCCUGUUGCCCACGAUGCAAGGUCGUCCAGGGCUGAGAUGAACACAGGAGCCUAAGUGGAAGGUUUGCUGCAGAGUUAUGUGGCUGCUGUUCAAGGCUGUUGUCUUCUCGGGACUCGAAGCAGAGUGGGAUGAGGUGGCUGUGCCGCUGGCUUUAGCACUUGGCCAAAGGAGGCCAGCAGGACAUGGUAUGGGGGAAAUGAGGCUUCACCCAUGACGACUUCUGACUUAGACCAAAAGGCAAAGCUGAGGCCGGGGAGAUGGCUCUGUGGUAAGAGCUCUGUGCUGUGCAAGCCUCAGGACUUACGUUCCACUGUCCAGCACCCAGAUCUGCAUGACCUUCCAGCUCGACUUUCCCCUGCAGUCCAGACCAAUGACAUGGAAGACAGACAAACUCAAAUGGAAGGACAUUCCACACAGUAUGUGACCACUCCUUCACAACUUCAAAGCCAUGAAAAAUAAGGCUAAGACAAGAAACUAUUACAGGUCCUGGGAGAGAGGGUGAUCAAACACAGGCAGUGUGGUUUCCUGGGUCAGACCCGGAUCAGAAAACAAGCACUGGGCGAGAAACAGGUGGAUCAAAACGAGUGGGGAGUGUGGCUAACCGUGGUGUGUGAUGAGAGAGUAGUGGGUAGACCAGAACAAGUGGGGAGUGUGGCUAACAGUGGUGUGUGAUGGGAGAGUA
rnacentral:lncRNA from 1 species